rnacentral:rRNA from 1 species
GAUGAACGCUGGCGGCGUGCCUAAUACAUGCAAGUCGAGCGAACAGAUAAGGAGCUUGCUCCUUUGACGUUAGCGGCGGACGGGUGAGUAACACGUGGGUAACCUACCUAUAAGACUGGAAUAACUCCGGGAAACCGGGGCUAAUGCCGGAUAACAUUUAGAACCGCAUGGUUCUAAAGUGAAAGAUGGUUUUAUUAUCACUUAUAGAUGGACCCGCGCCGUAUUAGCUAGUUGGUAAGGUAACGGCUUACCAAGGCAACGAUACGUAGCCGACCUGAGAGGGUGAUCGGCCACACUGGAACUGAGACACGGUCCAGACUCCUACGGGAGGCAGCAGUAGGGAAUCUUCCGCAAUGGGCGAAAGCCUGACGGAGCAACGCCGCGUGAGUGAUGAAGGUCUUCGGAUCGUAAAACUCUGUUAUUAGGGAAGAACAAAUGUGUAAGUAACUGUGCACGUCUUGACGGUACCUAAUCAGAAAGCCACGGCUAACUACGUG